UAUAAAUUCUUUUUUUUUUUACAAAGGGACGAAGUCCAACUCAUAUAAAUUAUAUUCUAAGGUAAUGACACAUUUAUUUUAAAAUCAUAAUAAUUCUUCGGUAUGUUAUUGCACUCUUUCAGAUGUUUUACUCAGAGAAUCAGCGUUGAACAUAUUCACAUCCAUGAUUAAUGCAUUUAUAAACCCAGUAUUGGUUGCUUCCACGUCUUCGACAAUCUUCAUCAGUUUCACAGAAUUGUACUGUAUAAAUUUUAAAGAUAAUAAAAUAACAUUACCUAGACAUGAUAAAUGGUGGCGUACGAACUAAGAAGUAAAGGAAAAAAAAUUGAAAAAGGAUGAAAAAACGUCUUACGAUGAAAUUCCAUCCCAAUGAAAAGAAUUAAACUCAUGGCAUAAAUAAAUUUGAUAGUUGCAGACAUAUUUUUCCACUUUGCAUGUAAAAUAUAGAACGAUGCCG
rnacentral:lncRNA from 1 species